rnacentral:rRNA from 1 species
CGCGUAGGGGGCGAGCGUUGUCCGGAUUUAUUGGGCGUAAAGAGCUCGUAGGCGGCUCAGUAAGUCGGGUGUGAAAACUCCAGGCUCAACCUGGAGACGCCACCUGAUACUGCUGUGGCUAGAGUCCGGUAGGGGAGCAUGGAAUUCCUGGUGUAGCGGUGAAAUGCGCAGAUAUCAGGAGGAACACCAGUGGCGAAGGCGGUGCUCUGGGCCGGAACUGACGCUCAGGCACGAAAGCGUGGGGAGCAAAAGGG